CGGCCUGCGGGAGCUUUAACAUGCAGUCGAACGGCAGCGCGAAGAAAGCUUGCUUUCUUUGGCGGCGAGUGGCGAACGGGUGAGUAAUAUAUCGGAACGUGCCCAGUAGCGGGGGAUAACUACGCGAAAGCGUGGCUAAUACCGCAUACGCCCUACGGGGGAAAGGGGGGGAUCGCAAGACCUCUCACUAUUGGAGCGGCCGAUAUCAGAUUAGCUUGUUGGUGAGGUAAAGGCUCACCAAGGCCGCGAUCUGUAGCUGGUUUGAGAGGACGACCAGCCACACUGGGACUGAGACACGGCCCAGACUCCUACGGGAGGCAGCAGUGGGGAAUUUUGGACAAUGGGGGAAACCCUGAUCCAGCCAUCCCGCGUGUGCGAUGAAGGCCUUCGGGUUGUAAAGCACUUUUGGCAGGGAAGAAAAGGCGCCGGAUAAUACCUGGCGCCGCUGACGGUACCUGCAGAAUAAGCACCGGCUAACUACGUGCCAGCAGCCGCGGUAAUACGUAGGGUGCAAGCGUUAAUCGGAAUUACUGGGCGUAAAGCGUGCGCAGGCGGUUCGGAAAGAAAGAUGUGAAAUCCCAGGGCUUAACCUUGGAACUGCAUUUUUAACUGCCGGGCUAGAGUAUGUCAGAGGGGGGUAGAAUUCCACGUGUAGCAGUGAAAUGCGUAGAGAUGUGGAGGAAUACCGAUGGCGAAGGCAGCCCCCUGGGAUAAUACUGACGCUCAUGCACGAAAGCGUGGGGAGCAAGCAGGAUUAGAUACCCUGGUAGUCCACGCCCUAAACGAUGUCAACUAGCUGUUGGGGCCUUCGGGCCUUAGUAGCGCAGCUAACGCGUGAAGGUUGACCGCCUGGGGGAGUACGGUCGCAAGAUUAAAACUCAUAGGAAUUUGACGGGGACCGCGCACAAGCGGUGGAUGAUGUGGAUUAAUUCGAUGCAACGCGGAGAGACCUUACCUACCCUUGACAUGUCUGGGAGCUUCAUAGAUUGAAGUGUGCUCGCAGAAGAACCGGAACCACAGUGCUGCAUGGCUGUCGUCAGCUUCGUGUCGUGAGGAUGUUGGGGUUAAGUACCCGCAACGAGCGCACCCUGUCAUGAGUUGCUACGGAAAGGGCACUCUACUCGAACUGCCAGUGACAACCGAGGCAGGUGAGAGUACGGUCGAGGUCGUCAGUGCGUAUGCGUGAGGCGUCCGAACGUCUCACAUGUUCGGACGAGGGUGCCUGAUCGGCGAAGGCAUCAAUUCCGAGGAUGCCGAAGUCG
rnacentral:rRNA from 1 species